UACAGAGGUGGCAAGCGUUGUUCGGAAUUACUGGGCGUAAAGGGUGUGUAGGUGGUUUGAUAAGUUAGGUGUGAAAGUCCUGGGCUUAACCUGGGAAUUGCGCCUAAUACUGUUAAGCUAGAGUACUGUAGAGGAAGGUGGAAUUUCCGGUGUAGCGGUGAAAUGCGUAGAUAUCGGAAGGAACAUCAGUGGCGAAGGCGACCUUCUGGACAGAUACUGACACUGAGACACGAAAGCAUGGGUAGCAAACAGG
rnacentral:rRNA from 1 species